AGUCUGGCUCAGGAUGAACGCUAGCUACAGGCUUAACACAUGGCAAGUCGAGGGGCGAGCGGGGAGUGGCAACACUCCGCCGGCGACCGGCGCACGGGUGAGUAACACGUAUCCAACCUGCCCUGAGCUUGGGGAUAGCCCUCUGAAAGGAGGAUUAAUACCCGAUGUGGUUGCCGGAAGACAUCUUCUGGCAAUUAAAGAUUUAUCGGCUCAUGAUGGGGAUGCGUAUGAUUAGCUUGUGGCGGGUAACGGCCACCAAGGCGACGAUCAUUAGGGGUUCUGAGAGGAAGGUCCCCCACAUAGGAACUGAGACACGGUCCUAACUCCUACGGGAGGCAGCAGUGAGGAAUAUUGGUCAAUGGUCGAGAGACUGAACCAGCCAAGUAGCGUGAAGGAAUGACUGCCCUACGGGUUGUAAACUUCUUUUAUGCGGGAAUAAAGUGAGGCACGCGUGCCUUUUUGUAUGUACCGCAUGAACAAGCAUCGGCUAAUUCCGUGCCAGCAGCCGC
rnacentral:rRNA from 1 species